GGUUUUUUUUUUUGCUUUGUAGAAAUAGCAACUUGGCAAAGUCAGAACGAUGCUGCUAGGCAGUGAGCUCCUCCCCACGCACCUCCUGAGCUCAGAAGCCGUAACAGAAACCGAAAUUCAAUGGGCAAUGCUGUGGGGGGAGGGGCGCCCUCGGCGGGGGACAGCGGGGCGCCUUCCCUAUUCCCCUUUUGGGGCAAUGCACGUUCCUCCAGAAAUCCCGCUCCUGGCUUCACCCAGCAGCACACACCAGCCUGCGAGCCCUGUGUGAAUGCAGCCAGAGGCAGUAUCAGGUGUGUGUCCAGAGGGAAACUGUGAGCCUGCAUUGCCUCCGAGCGCUUCCCUGUGCAGACCCACGCAAUACUACUGACACGCUGUUGUAAGGGGCCGCAGGCACAGUGUGAUUGGCACAAUCCAGCAGCAGACACCAGAUGAGACCAAGAUAAAAGGAGCUACGGUCAUCUGCACCUAGAUAAGAGUCAGAACACCAGUUGAAACUGAUACCUCUUGCAAUACACUGUGAAUUAAUAUGCAUAUAUAUAUUUGUGCAUGUAUGUAACUGAGCAAUAUAACCUUUGUCUGUUGUGACUCGUGGCAUGCAUGCUAGGAGGAAUUAACCCCUGUGUAUCCCGUGCCAUAAUAAAGAAUGCCUACUUCUUAAUACUA